UCUCCUUCGGGAGGCUAGUAGAGUGGCGCACGGGUGAGUAACACGUAGGUAAUCUACCUUCGGAUGGGGAAUAACAACCGGAAACGGUUGCUAAUACCGCAUAAUGCAGCGGCACCUAAUGGUGACAGUUGUUAAAGCGGGGGAUUGAAAGACCUCGCGUCUGAAGAGGAGCCUGCGGCGGAUUAGCUAGUUGGUAGGGUAACGGCCUACCAAGGCGACGAUCCGUAGCCGGCCUGAGAGGGCGGUCGGCCACACUGACACUGACAUACGGGUCAGACUCCUACGGGAGGCAGCAGUCGGGAAUUUUGGGCAAUGGGCGAAAGCCUGACCCAGCAACGCCGCGUGAAGGAUGAAAUCCCUCGGGAUGUAAACUUCGCAAGAACGGGAAGAAUAAGUAGGGGACAAUACCCCCUAUGAUGACGGUACCGUUUGUAAGCUCCGGCUAACUCCGUGCCAGCAGCCGCGGUAAUACGGGGGGAGCAAGCGUUGUUCGGAUUUACUGGGCGUCAAGGGCGCGUAGGCGGCCAGUGCAAGUCAGUUGUGAAAUCUCCGAGCUUAACUCGGAAAGGUCAACUGAUACUGCUCGGCUAGAGUGCGGAAGGGGCAACUGGAAUUCUUGGUGUAGCGGUGAAAUGCGUAGAUAUCAAGAGGAACACCUGCGGCGAAGGCGGGUUGCUGGGCCGACACUGACGCUGA
rnacentral:rRNA from 1 species